GAUGAACGCUAGCGGCAGGCUUAACACAUGCAAGUCGAGGGGUAACAGAGAGAGCUUGCUCUUUGCUGACGACCGGCGCACGGGUGCGUAACGCGUAUACAAUCUGCCUUACACUGGGGGAUAGCCUUUGGAAACGAAGAUUAAUACCCCAUAGUAUGAUUACUUGGCAUCGAGUUAUCAUUAAAGGUUACGGUGUAAGAUGAGUAUGCGUCCUAUUAGCUUGUUGGUGUGGUAACGGCACACCAAGGCAACGAUAGGUAGGGGCCCUGAGAGGGGGAUCCCCCACACUGGUACUGAGACACGGACCAGACUCCUACGGGAGGCAGCAGUGAGGAAUAUUGGACAAUGGAGGCAACUCUGAUCCAGCCAUGCCGCGUGCAGGAAGACUGCCCUAUGGGUUGUAAACUGCUUUUGUACGGGAAGAAACACUCCUACGUGUAGGAGCUUGACGGUACCGUAAGAAUAAGCAUCGGCUAACUCCG
rnacentral:rRNA from 1 species